GAUGAACGCUGGCGGCGUGCCUAAUACAUGCCAGUCGAGCGAACAGAUAAGGAGCUUGCUCCUUUGACGUUAGCGGCGGACGGGUGAGUAACACGUGGGUAACCUACCUAUAAGACUGGGAUAACUUCGGGAAACCGGAGCUAAUACCGGAUAACAUUUGGAACCGCAUGGUUCUAAAGUGAAAGAUGGUUUUGCUAUCACUUAUAGAUGGACCCGCGCCGUAUUAGCUAGUUGGUAAGGUAACGGCUUACCAAGGCGACGAUACGUAGCCGACCUGAGAGGGUGAUCGGCCACACUGGAACUGAGACACGGUCCAGACUCCUACGGGAGGCAGCAGUAGGGAAUCUUCCGCAAUGGGCGAAAGCCUGACGGAGCAACGCCGCGUGAGUGAUGAAGGGUUUCGGCUCGUAAAACUCUGUUAUUAGGGAAGAACAAAUGUGUAAGUAACUGUGCACGUCUUGACGGUACCUAAUCAGAAAGCCACGGCUAACUACGUG
rnacentral:rRNA from 1 species